rnacentral:misc_RNA from 1 species
AAGAAAUUAAAAUUUGGUAAAAAAAAAUAAUAAAUAACGAUCUUUAAACUUCGGUUAGCUUCAGAUAAAUAUAAAAAUAAAAAAUUCCACCAUACCUACUUAGGCUUGCAUUUUCCAACGCUCCCUUGAAAAAAUAUAAAAAUAAAAAUCUAAAGCGCUUUUCACUCUUUUCCUCUCUGUUUCUUCCCCUCUCCUCGGAGAGUGUUUUCUUUCAAGGAAAAAGAAACCAUGUUUUAAUUUACAUAAAAAGACUUUGAGUUUGUCCAGCUUGUAAAAAGUUUAAUGAAGAGAUCUUUGAUGAAUUCUUUUCAAGCAAAUUCUUUUCAAGCAAAAAUAAUCCCAUUGAACCAACAUGGAAGAUGACAAAGACGAUAUUUUAGCAUUCUUUCUCAUUUUUCGAUCUUUAAUUCUUUUUUUAAUGCACAAAUGCCUGUAGCAGAGCCCACUUCCGGACGCUUAUUUAUAUGGCUUAUCUCUUGUUUCUUGUUUACCUGCGUUACUGUUGGUGGAAUCUUCCUCCUUUUGUACAUUGUCCUCCCUCAGAAGCAAGCUAAACCUUGGCUUCCAAUUGUUGGUGUAACCCUUGUUUGUCUCCCUUGGAUUUUUUGGUGCUUUACUUGUCUUUAUCGUAUCAUUUCUCGAGCACUUGGAAUUAGGGUUGUUAUCCGUUGUGGCGGCGGCGGUGGUGAUGGUGGUAGUAGCGCUCGUACUCGUUCAAAUGUUUCUAAUACAUCAAGGAAUGUAGCAUCCCAUGAGCCUGCAAACCUUAACUCUCCAUUAGAGCCUGUUGAAGAAGAAGAUGGAAGGGGCGUCCAAUUUGGAGGGGCAGCAGUUUUGGGAGAGGGCGAUGAUGACCAUGAAAAGAAGAAUGCAAAUUUGAGGAGUUUAUCGACUAGCAUUUCAAGCAAUGAUUUGUCCGUUGCUUCUCGUGAAAGCGAAAUGCCUUUAACCCAAGCUAUGGCAUCCUAAUGAUAUGUCACUUUGAAAUUGAAGAAACUCUCUCAAUCCAUGAAUAAGGAAACCAUUCUUUUCAUUUGCCCAUUCUCUUAGGCCUUCAUCCAUUAAAUUAUAAAAAAAUUUGAUGUAUACACAUACACAUUUUUCUAUUAUCAGACAGAAUAUAGAAAAUUUUUACCCAUCCAAAGUAUUAAUUGUCUUCAGAGAUCAUCAAUUCCAUUUCUUAUUUACUAGGUUAUACAGUAGAUCAUUUCAUAACAAGUUCAAAUAUGAUUUUCUUUUUCCUUUUUGGGGUAGCAUUAGCAAUAGAAAAG